CUGAAGACACCGGCCCAACUCCUACGGGAGCAGCAGUAGGAUCUCCACAAUGGGACGCAAGUCUGAUGAGCACGGCGGCGUGGAGGGGAAGAAGCUUCGGGUCGUAAACUCUGUUGUUGGAGAAGAAUGGUCGGCAGAGUAACUGUUGUCGGCGUGACGGUAUCCAACCAGAAAGCCACGGCUAACUACGUGCCAGCAGCCGCGGUAAUACGUAGGUGGCAAGCGUUAUCCGGAUUUAUUGGGCGUAAAGCGAGCGCAGGCGGUUUUUUAAGUCUGAUGUGAAAGCCCUCGGCUUAACCGAGGAAGCGCAUCGGAAACUGGGAAACUUGAGUGCAGAAGAGGACAGUGGAACUCCAUGUGUAGCGGUGAAAUGCGUAGAUAUAUGGAAGAACACCAGUGGCGAAGGCGGCUGUCUGGUCUGUAACUGACGCUGAGGCUCGAAAGCAUGGGUAGCGAACAGGAUUAGAUACCCUGGUAGUCCAUGCCGUAAACGAUGAAUGCUAGGUGUUGGAGGGUUUCCGCCCUUCAGUGCCGCAGCUAACGCAUUAAGCAUUCCGCCUGGGGAGUACGACCGCAAGGUUGAAACUCAAAGGAAUUGACGGGGGCCCGCACAAGCGGUGGAGCAUGUGGUUUAAUUCGAAGCAACGCGAAGAACCUUACCAGGUCUUGACAUCUUUUGAUCACCUGAGAGAUCAGGUUUCCCCUUCGGGGGCAAAAUGACAGGUGGUGCAUGGUUGUCGUCAGCUCGUGUCGUGAGAUGUUGGGUUAAGUCCCGCAACGAGCGCAACCCUUAUGACUAGUUGCCAGCAUUUAGUUGGGCACUCUAGUAAGACUGCCGGUGACAAACCGGAGGAAGGUGGGGAUGACGUCAAAUCAUCAUGCCCCUUAUGACCUGGGCUACACACGUGCUACAAUGGAUGGUACAACGAGUUGCGAGACCGCGAGGUCAAGCUAAUCUCUUAAAGCCAUUCUCAGUUCGGACUGUAGGCUGCAACUCGCCUACACGAAGUCGGAAUCGCUAGUAAUCGCGGAUCAGCACGCCGCGGUGAAUACGUUCCCGGGCCUUGUACACACCGCCCGUCACACCAUGAGAGUUUGUAACACCCGAAGCCGGUGGCGUAACCCUUUAGGGAGCGAGCCGUCUAAGGUGAACAAA
rnacentral:rRNA from 2 species